GACGAACGCGUGGCGGCGUGCCUAAACACAUGCAAGUCGAACGGGAUCCACGCCAUGAAGUUUUCGGAUGGAUUGGUGUGGUGAGAGUGGCGAACGGGCGAGUAACGCGUGAGCAACCUACCUCGUACUGGGGGAUAACCGUCGGGAAACCGGCGCUAAUACCGCAUAAGACUACGAUGCCGCAUGGCAAUGUAGUCAAAGCUCCGGCGGUACGAGACGGGCUCGCGUCCGAUUAGCUAGUUGGUAGGGUAAUGGCCUACCAAGGCGACGAUCGGUAGCCGGACUGAGAGGUCGGCCGGCCGCAUUGGGACUGAGACACGGCCCAGACUCCUACGGGAGGCAGCAGUGGGGAAUAUUGCGCAAUGGGGGAAACCCUGACGCAGCGACGCCGCGUGAAGGAAGAAGGCCUUCGGGUUGUAAACUUCUUUGAUCGGGGACGAAGGAAGACGGUACCCGAGGAAUAAGCAUCGGCUAACUCCGUG
rnacentral:rRNA from 1 species